GAUGAACGCUGGCGGCGUGCCUAAUACAUGCGAGUCGAGCGAACAGACGAGGAGCUUGCUCCUCUGACGUUAGCGGCGGACGGGUGAGUAACACGUGGAUAACCUACCUAUAAGACUGGGAUAACUUCGGGAAACCGGAGCUAAUACCGGAUAAUAUAUUGAACCGCAUGGUUCAAUAGUGAAAGACGGUUUUGCUGUCACUUAUAGAUGGAUCCGCGCCGCAUUAGCUAGUUGGUAAGGUAACGGCUUACCAAGGCAACGAUGCGUAGCCGACCUGAGAGGGUGAGCGGCCACACUGGAACUGAGACACGGUCCAGACUCCUACGGGAGGCAGCAGUAGGGAAUCUUCCGCAAUGGGCGAAAGCCUGACGGAGCAACGCCGCGUGAGUGAUGAAGGUCUUCGGAUCGUAAAACUCUGUUAUUAGGGAAGAACAAAUGUGUAAGUAACUAUGCACGUCUUGACGGUACCUAAUCAGAAAGCCACGGCUAACUACGUG
rnacentral:rRNA from 1 species